CGCUAGCUACAGGCUUAACACAUGCAAGUCGAGGGGCAGCAUGGUCUUAGCUUGCUAAGGCCGAUGGCGACCGGCGCACGGGUGAGUAACACGUAUCCAACCUGCCGUCUACUCUUGGACAGCCUUCUGAAAGGAAGAUUAAUACAAGAUGGCAUCAUGAGUCCGCAUGUUCACAUGAUUAAAGGUAUUCCGGUAGACGAUGGGGAUGCGUUCCAUUAGAUAGUAGGCGGGGUAACGGCCCACCUAGUCUUCGAUGGAUAGGGGUUCUGAGAGGAAGGUCCCCCACAUUGGAACUGAGACACGGUCCAAACUCCUACGGGAGGCAGCAGUGAGGAAUAUUGGUCAAUGGGCGAGAGCCUGAACCAGCCCAGUAGCGUGAAGGAUGACUGGCCUAUGGGUUGGUAACUUCCUUUAUAAAGGAAUAAAAGUCGGGGUAAGGAUACCCCGGUUGCAUGGACUUUAUGAAUAAAGGAUCGGCUAACUCCCGUGCCAGCAGCCGGCGUAAUACCGAAGGAUCCGAGCGUUAUCCGGAUUUAUUGGGUUUAAAGGGAGCGUAGAUGGAUGUUUAAGUCAGUUGUGAAAGUUUGCGGCUCAACCGUAAAAUUGCAGUUGAUACUGGAUAUCUUGAGUGCAGUUGAGGCAGGCGGAAUUCGUGGUGUAGCGGUGAAAUGCUUAGAUAUCACGAAGAACUCCGAUUGCGAAGGCAGCCUGCUAAGCUGCAACUGACAUUGAGGCUCGAAAGUGUGGGUAUCAAACAGGAUUAGAUACCCUGGUAGUCCACACGGUAAACGAUGAAUACUCGCUGUUUGCGAUAUACUGCAAGCGGCCAAGCGAAAGCGUUAAGUAUUCCACCUGGGGAGUACGCCGGCAACGGUGAAACUCAAAGGAAUUGACGGGGGCCCGCACAAGCGGAGGAACAUGUGGUUUAAUUCGAUGAUACGCGAGGAACCUUACCCGGGCUUAAAUUGCAGAUGAAUUACGGUGAAAGCCGUAAGCCGCAAGGCAUCUGUGAAGGUGCUGCAUGGUUGUCGUCAGCUCGUGCCGUGAGGUGUCGGCUUAAGUGCCAUAACGAGCGCAACCCUUGUUGUCAGUUACUAACAGGUUCCGCUGAGGACUCUGACAAGACUGCCAUCGUAAGAUGUGAGGAAGGUGGGGAUGACGUCAAAUCAGCACGGCCCUUACGUCCGGGGCUACACACGUGUUACAAUGGGGGGUACAGAGGGCCGCUACCACGCGAGUGGAUGUCAAUCCCCAAAACCUCUCUCAGUUCGGACUGGAGUCUGCAACCCGACUCCACGAAGCUGGAUUCGCUAGUAAUCGCGCAUCAGCCACGGCGCGGUGAAUACGUUCCCGGGCCUUGUACACACCGCCCGUCAAGCCAUGGGAGCCGGGGGUACCUGAAGUGCGUAACCGCGAGGAGCGCCCUAGGGUAAAACUGG
rnacentral:rRNA from 1 species